rnacentral:rRNA from 1 species
AUAUUGGACAAUGGGCGAAAGCCUGAUCCAGCAAUGCCGCGUGAGUGAUGAAGGCCUUAGGGUUGUAAAGCUCUUUCAGCAGGGAAGAUAAUGACGGUACCUGCAGAAGAAGCCCCGGCUAACUACGUGCCAGCAGCCGCGGUAAGACGUAGGGGGCUAGCGUUACUCGGAAUUACUGGGCGUAAAGCGCAUGUAGGCGGUACAGUAAGUUGAGGGUGAAAUCCCGGGGCUCAACCCCGGAACUGCCCUCAAAACUGCUGAACUAGAGUUCGGUAGAGGUUGAUGGAAUUCCUAGUGUAGAGGUGAAAUUCUUAGAUAUUAGGAGGAACACCGGAGGCGAAAGCGAUCAACUGGGCCGAUACUGACGCUGAGAUGCGAAAGCGUGGGGAGCAAACAGG